UUUAGACACCAUCAUUGCUUUUUGUUUUAUGCAUUAAAAGAACUAUAGCAAAAUGACACACACUUGUAUCUUUUCUUUCAGACUCCCUCAAUACAUCCAUUUUGCAAAGUUUAUUUCCUCCUGUGCAUAGUGGCAGAUUUGUUGCAGUAUGACAAGCCAGCACUUCUGUUCUGGGACCCAAUGUUCCUUAUCACAAUCAAGAAGGGGGGACUAAAAGAACUGUGCAAGACCCUCUGCUGGACACUUCAGAUGUUCACACAUUUAAUGCUGGCCUAGGGAAAAACCAGAAAUCCAAGUUGAAUGGUUUCUGCAAAGGCCCCGUGAUAGGGGAGUUAUCAGUUCCUGUGGUAAGGAACAGUUCAUCCUGAGGUCAGUAAUAAUUCCAAAAUUAUUUCAAUAUAUAACACCAAGUACUAAAAAAGCACCCU
rnacentral:lncRNA from 1 species